rnacentral:rRNA from 1 species
GUGAGGAAUAUUGGUCAAUGGGCGGGAGCCUGAACCAGCCAAGUCGCGUGAAGGAAGAAGGAUCUAUGGUUCGUAAACUUCUUUUGCAGGGGAAUAAAGUGCAGGACGUGUCCUGUUUUGUAUGUACCCUGAGAAUAAGGAUCGGCUAACUCCGUGCCAGCAGCCGCGGUAAUACGGAGGAUCCGAGCGUUAUCCGGAUUUAUUGGGUUUAAAGGGUGCGUAGGUGGUUUGAUAAGUCAGCGGUGAAAGUUUGCAGCUUAACUGUAAAAAUGCCGUUGAAACUGUCGGACUUGAGUGUAAAUGAGGUAGGCGGAAUGCGUGGUGUAGCGGUGAAAUGCAUAGAUAUCACGCAGAACUCCGAUUGCGAAGGCAGCUUACUAAGCUACAACUGACACUGAAGCACGAAAGCGUGGGGAUCAAACAGGAUUAGAAACCCCUGUAGUCC